rnacentral:rRNA from 1 species
AACGAACGCUGGCGGCAGGCUUAACACAUGCAAGUCGAACGCCCCGCAAGGGGAGCGGCAGACGGGAGAGUAACGCGUGGGAAUCUACCUAGUUCUACGGAACAACAGUUGGAAACGACUGCUAAUACCGUAUACGCCCUACGGGGGAAAGAUUUAUCGGAAUUAGAUGAGCCCGCGUAAGAUUAGCUAGUUGGUGGGGUAAUGGCCUACCAAGGCGACGAUCUUUAGCUGGUCUGAGAGGAUGAUCAGCCACACUGGGACUGAGACACGGCCCAGACUCCUACGGGAGGCAGCAGUGGGGAAUAUUGGACAAUGGGCGCAAGCCUGAUCCAGCCAUGCCGCGUGAGUGAUGAAGGCCUUAGGGUUGUAAAGCUCUUUCACCGAUGAAGAUAAUGACGGUAGUCGGAGAAGAAGCCCCGGCUAACUUCGUGCCAGCCGCCGCCGUAACAC